CGGUGGCGGACGGGUGAGUAACGCGUAAAGAACUUGCCCUCUUGACCGGGACAACUGUUGGAAACGACAGCUAAUACCGGAUAUUAUGGGAACCUCGCAUGGGGAACUUAUGAAAGCUAUAUGCGCUAGAGGAGAGCUUUGCGUGCCAUUAGGUAGUUGGUAGGGUAAUGGCCUACCAAGCCGACGAUGGCUGGCCGGCCUGAGAGGGUGAUCGGCCACAAGGGGACUGAGACACGGCCCUU
rnacentral:rRNA from 1 species